UACGGAGGGUGCGAGCGUUGUCCGGAAUCAUUGGGCGUAAAGGGCGCGUAGGUGGCCCGGUCAGUUCGUGGUGAAAGCGCGGGGUUCAACCCUGCGUCGGCCAUGAAUACUGCCGCGGCUGGAGCACUGUAGAGGCAGAUGGAAUUCCGGGUGUAGCGGUGGAAUGCGUAGAGAUCCGGAAGAACACCGGUGGCGAAGGCGGUCUGCUGGGCAGUAGCUGACACUGAGGCGCGACAGCGUGGGGAGCAAACAGG
rnacentral:rRNA from 1 species